rnacentral:rRNA from 1 species
AGAGUUUGAUCCUGGGCUCAGGAUGAACGCUGGCGGUAUGCCUAACACAUGCAAGUCGUACGAGAGUUUUUAACUCUAGUGGCGGACGGGUGAGUAACACGUGAGAAUUUGCCUUUAGGAGGGGGACAACAAUUGGAAACGAAUGCUAAUACCCCAUAUGCUUUCGAGUGAAAUGGAUUUUAUCCGCCUAGAGAGAAGCUCGCGGCUGAUUAGCUUGUUGGUAAGGUAAGAGCUUACCAAGGCGACGAUCAGUAUCUGGUUUGAGAGGACGAUCAGACACACUGGAACUGAGACACGGUCCAGACUCCUACGGGAGGCAGCAGUGGGGAAUUUUCCGCAAUGGGCGAAAGCCUGACGGAGCAAUACCGCGUGAGGGAAGAAUGCCUAUGGGUUGUAAACCUCUUUUUUCAGGGAGGAAUAAAAUGACGUGUACCUGAAGAAUAAGCAUCGGCUAACUCCGUGCCAGCAGCCGCGGUAAGACGGAGGAUGCAAGUGUUACCCGGAAUCACUGGGCGUAAAGCGUCUGUAGGUGGUUUAAUAAGUCAACUGUUAAAUCUUGAUGGCUCAACUUCAAAAUCGCAGUCGAAACUAUUAGACUAGAGUAUAGUAGAGGUAAAGGGAAUUUCCAGUGGAGCGGUGAAAUGCGUAGGAUAUUGGAAAGAACACCGAUGGCGAAAAGCACUUUACUGGGCUAUUACUAACACUCAGAGACGAAAGCUAGGG